rnacentral:rRNA from 1 species
AAUAUUGGAAAAUGGGGGCAACCCUGAUCCAGCCAUGCCGCGUUUGUGAAGAAGGUCUUCGGAUUGUAAAGCACUUUAAGUUGGGAGGAAGGGCAGUAAGCUAAUACCUUGCUGUUUUGACGUUACCGCCAGAAUAAGUACCGGCUAACUUCGUGCCAUCAUCCACGGUAAUACAGAGGUUGCACGCGUUAAUCGGAAUUACGGGGCGGAAAGGGCGGGUAGGUGGGUACGUAAGAUGGGUGGGAAAGCCCCGGGCUUAACCUGGGAACUGCUUUAAUAACUGCUGGGCUAGAGUACGGUAGAGGGUAGUGGAAUUUCCUGUGUGGCGGUGAAAUGCGUAGAUAUAGGAAGGAACACCAGUGGCGAAGGCGACUACCUGGACUGAUACUGACACUGAGGUGCGAAAGCGUGGGGAGCAAAC